rnacentral:rRNA from 1 species
UACGGAGGAUGCGAGCGUUAUCCGGAUUUAUUGGGUUUAAAGGGUGCGCAGGCGGCGUGUCAAGCAAGCGGUAAAAUAGCGGGGCUCAACCCCGUCGAGCCGUUUGAACUGGCGCGCUUGAGUUCAGGCGAGGUAGGCGGAAUUCGUGGUGUAGCGGUGAAAUGCAUAGAUAUCACGCAGAACUCCGAUUGCGAAGGCAGCUUACUAAGCCAUAACUGACACUGAAGCACGAAAGCGUGGGGAUCAAACAGG